rnacentral:lncRNA from 1 species
UAAGUUUCAUGCAAAUCAUAGUAACGAGUGCCUCGUCAAUGCUUAUGUUUUUCAUAGAACUUAAUGAUUCUUGAUUGUAUCUCUAUUAUGCAAUUCAUGUAGGGAACUUGUAGGGAAUGUUUUGGGUUGUCGUAUGCAAUCAUCCAAUCUAAUAACUUGUUGAAAAACUAAGAGUUAAUUAGUGCAAUUCACGGUUAAUUUAGGGCGUUGAGUAUUCAUAACUUAUCGAAGAGCAAUUGGAAAUCAUUUUGUAUGCAAGCAAGACAUGUGUGGAGAAAAACCCCUUAGCUAGCCUUCCAUUAUCCAUUCAACCCAAAUUUGUUUAAAAUCUAUUUAAGUUUUUAGUUUAU